AUUGAACGCUGGCGGCAUGCUUUACACAUGCAAGUCGAACGGUAACAGCACUUCGGUGGCUGACGAGUGGAGAACGGGUGAGUAAUACAUCGGAACGUGCCUAGUAGUGGGGGAUAACUACUCGAAAGAGUAGCUAAUACCGCAUGAGAUCUAAGGAUGAAAGCAGGGGACCUUCGGGCCUUGCGCUACUAGAGCGGCUGAUGGCAGAUUAGGUAGUUGGUGGGAUAAAAGCUUACCAAGCCGACGAUCUGUAGCUGGUCUGAGAGGACGACCAGCCACACUGGGACUGAGACACGGCCCAGACUCCUACGGGAGGCAGCAGUGGGGAAUUUUGGACAAUGGGCGCAAGCCUGAUCCAGCAAUGCCGCGUGCAGGAUGAAGGCCUUCGGGUUGUAAACUGCUUUUGUACGGAACGAAAAGCCCUCUUCUAAUACAGGAGGGUCAUGACGGUACCGUAAGAAUAAGCACCGGCUAACUACGUG
rnacentral:rRNA from 1 species